CCUACGGGAGGCAGCAGUAAGGAAUAUUGGACAAUGGACGCAAGUCUGAUCCAGCCAUGCCGCGUGAAGGAUUAAGGCCCUCUGGGUUGUAAACUUCUUUUAUAGGGGACGAAAAAAGGGCUUUCUAGCUCGACUGACGGUACCCUAUGAAUAAGCACCGGCUAACUCCGUGCCAGCAGCCGCGGUAAUACGGAGGGUGCAAGCGUUAUCCGGAUUCACUGGGUUUAAAGGGUGCGUAGGCGGGCAUUUAAGUCAGUGGUGAAAUCUUCGAGCUCAACUCGGAAACUGCCAUUGAUACUAUUUGUCUUGAAUAUUGUGGAGGUGAGCGGAAUAUGUCAUGUAGCGGUGAAAUGCUUAGAUAUGACAUAGAACACCGAUUGCGAAGGCAGCUCGCUACACAAAUAUUGACGCUGAGGCACGAAAGCGUGGGGAUCAAACAGGAUUAGAUACCCUGGUAGUCCACGCCCUAAACUAUAGGAUACUCGACAUUUGCGAUACACAGUAAGUGUCUGAGCGAAAGCAUUAAGUAUCCCACCUGGAAGUACGACCGCAAGGUUGAAACGUCAAAUGAAUUGACGG
rnacentral:rRNA from 1 species